UACGUAGGGUGCGAGCGUUAAUCGGAAUUACUGGGCGUAAAGCGUGCGCAGGCGGCUAUGCAAGACAGAUGUGAAAUCCCCGGGCUCAACCUGGGAACUGCAUUUGUGACUGCAUGGCUAGAGUACGGUAGAGGGGGAUGGAAUUCCGCGUGUAGCAGUGAAAUGCGUAGAUAUGCGGAGGAACACCGAUGGCGAAGGCAAUCCCCUGGGCCUGUACUGACGCUCAUGCACGAAAGCGUGGGGAGCAAACAGG
rnacentral:rRNA from 1 species